UCCUUGUUAGUACAGUGGUGAGUAUCCCCGCCUGUCACACGUGAAACUGGGGUUCCAUUCCCCAGCGGGGGG
rnacentral:tRNA from 1 species